rnacentral:rRNA from 1 species
UGGGUAACCUGCCUCAAAGAGGGGAAUAGCCUCCCGAAAGGGAGAUUAAUACCGCAUAGUAUGUUUAGGUCGCAUGACUUUAACAUCAAAGGAUUUCUUUUAGAAAUUCCACUUUGAGAUGGACCCGCGGCGCAUUAGCUAGUUGGUGAAGUAACGGCUCACCAAGGCGACGAUGCGUAGCCGACC